GAGGCCAAGCCUCUGGCUGAGGGCUCUCUGGGACAGAGUGGAGGGCUUCCGAGCACACCGGCCUACUCUGAGACCCCAAUAGGACACAGAGCAGGAGAGCAAGAGCCAUCCAGGAGGCUCCAACCCCCAGGAGCUCCUCACUGGCAGAGCACUCAAAACCAGGUACGUUUGAGGGAGCUUAUUGAUCUCCAGUCAUUUGCUAAGAAGCAAUCAGACUUAUUUCCAUGGAGACCAGGGACUCUGAGGAUUUGGAAAAGCCCCAGAAGAAAUCAGUGAGUGGUUCACGGGAGAUUGAUGAGCCGGUCAGUGUGAAAUCUGAGGUCCUCUCAGAAGACAGGAAGCCCCAUGCCGACCAGGAGACGCAAGACAAAGCAUCCCAUUGCUACACCCCAAUCCAGAGAAACUCCAUCUUCAAUCGCACUGUGAGACACAGAAGCAAAGGCAAAGCCACAGGCACUCCCGAGUGGAACGCCGGACACCCAGCAGAUUCACUGGAAAAUGGGAAAUCUGUAAAUGAGCCCCUGAACUUGAAUUGCUCACAGAGCAGAACACAUCCUUGGAGAAUACCAACACGGACAGACCCAGGAGCCAA